GAUGAACGCUGGCGGCGUGCCUAAUACAUGCAAGUCGAGCGAAUGGAUUAAGAGCUUGCUCUUAUGAAGUUAGCGGCGGACGGGUGAGUAACACGUGGGUAACCUGCCCAUAAGACUGGGAUAACUCCGGGAAACCGGGGCUAAUACCGGAUAACAUUUUGAACCGCAUGGUUCGAAAUUGAAAGGCGGCUUCGGCUGUCACUUAUGGAUGGACCCGCGUCGCAUUAGCUAGUUGGUGAGGUAACGGCUCACCAAGGCAACGAUGCGUAGCCGACCUGAGAGUGUGAUCGGCCACACUGGGACUGAGACACGGCCCAGACUCCUACGGGAGGCAGCAGUAGGGAAUCUUCCGCAAUGGACGAAAGUCUGACGGAGCAACGCCGCGGGAGUGAUGAAGGCUUUCGGGUCGUAAAACUCUGUUGUUAGGGAAGAACAAGUGCUAGUUGAAUAAGCUGGCACCUUGACGGUACCUAACCAGAAAGCCACGGCUAACUACGUGCCAGCCGCCGCCGUAA
rnacentral:rRNA from 1 species